GCGUAGCUCUGGUGUAGAGCGCUGCUCUUACAAAGCAGAUGUCGGGGGUUCGAAACCGUCCGC
rnacentral:tRNA from 1 species